rnacentral:rRNA from 1 species
GACGAACGCUGGCGGCGUGCUUAACACAUGCAAGUCGAACGGAAAGGCCCUGCUUUGGUGGGGUGCUCGAGUGGCGAGCGGGUGAGUAACACGUGAGUAACCUGCCCUUGACUUUGGGAUAAGUGCAGGAAACGGGGGCUAAUACCGGAUAGGAGCUCCUGCUGAAUGGUGGGGGUUGGAAAGGUUCGGCGGUUGGGGAUGGACUCGCGGCUUAUCAGCUUGUUGGUGGGGUAGUGGCUUACCAAGGCUUUGACGGGUAGCCGGCCUGAGAGGGUGACCGGCCACAUUGGGACUGAGAUACGGCCCAGACUCCUACGGGAGGCAGCAGUGGGGAAUAUUGCACAAUGGGCGGAAGCCUGAUGCAGCAACGCCGCGUGCGGGAUGACGGCCUUCGGGUUGUAAACCGCUUUCGCCUGUGGCGAAGCGUGAGUGACGGUAAUGGGUAAAGAAGCACCGGCUAACUACGUG